CGAAACUAAAGAAAACAAAAAGAGAAAAUCAUAAGCUAGGUUCGGCCAAUUUACAAGCUUAAUUUAAGAUCGAGAAACGAAGAAAACGGAAUUGGAUCGGGGGAAGUUAAAAGUAGUCGAGUAGUCGACUGUGUUCGUCGAUAUCCGAGGCUUUGUGCCGGUGAAAUGUAUUAGGCUUUGUGCCUAGCAGGUUUUAUGCCGGUGUUUUAUACAAGGCUCUAUGUUCUAUAAAUCUUAUGUGAGCAAUAGUAAAAGCAAAUAAAGGUGUUAAGAAAGCUAAAUUAUUCAGGUAUGCGUUAGCCACUUGCUUAAUUAGUGUUAAGGUAGGUUGAUUAUUUUUAAAUUUAUAAUAGUUUCAAAUGAAAUAUAGAGUAUGAGUUAACCAUUUGAGUAUAAACAUAUUUUGGCAUAAUGAUUUAUUGAAUAUUUGGCUUUCUAAAUAUUUAUGUGUAUUUGGCCAUAUGGUU